GACAGAGGAGGCGAGCGUUAUCCGGAGUGAUUGGGCGUAAAGGGUACGUAGGGGGCUAGUUAAGUCUGAGGUUAAACACCACAGCUUAACUGUGGGAAUGCCAUGGAAACUGACUGGCUAGAGUGGGGCAGGGGUUGCGGGAAGUCCCGGUGUAGCGGUGAAAUGCGUAGAUAUCAGGAAGAACACCUGAGGCGAAAGCGCGCAACUGGGCCCUAACUGACGCUGAUGUACGAAAGCUAGGGGAGCGAAUGGG
rnacentral:rRNA from 1 species